CAGCCCUAGCUGAAAAUUAGUCGAACUGGACUGGCUUAGUAGUUCCUUUUGAAUCGAAAAGUCGGUAGACAAAAAUAAG
rnacentral:sRNA from 12 species